rnacentral:rRNA from 1 species
AUUGAACGCUGGCGGCAUGCUUUACACAUGCAAGUCGAACGGUAACAGGUUAAGCUGACGAGUGGCGAACGGGUGAGUAAUGUAUCGGAACGUGCCCAGUCGUGGGGGAUAACGUAGCGAAAGCUACGCUAAUACCGCAUACGAUCUGUGGAUGAAAGCGGGGGACCGUAAGGCCUCGCGCGAUUGGAGCGGCCGAUAUCAGAUUAGGUAGUUGGUGGGGUAAAGGCCCACCAAGCCAACGAUCUGUAGCUGGUCUGAGAGGACGACCAGCCACACUGGGACUGAGACACGGCCCAGACUCCUACGGGAGGCAGCAGUGGGGAAUUUUGGACAAUGGGGGCAACCCUGAUCCAGCAAUGCCGCGUGCAGGAAGAAGGCCUUCGGGUUGUAAACUGCUUUUGUACGGAACGAAAAGGCUCUGGUUAAUACCUGGGGUUUAUGACGGUACCGUAAGAAUAAGCACCGGCUAACUACGUGCCAGCCGCCGCCGCGG